UUUCCAGGGAACGUCUGCAGAAAGGCGAGAGGGGGCUGCUGGCUCCCGGGUGAGCGCCUCGGCGGGCGGCGCCUGGGGAGCGCGGCGCUGACCCGGGGCGGUCAUCUCACCACCGUGGCUUCCCCGCUGCUGCUGCGAGCCUGUCGCUCUCUCUCCAUUCCCCAUUUUCUCUUUCCCUGGGUAACAGCACAGGAACAGUUGUGCUCUGCCCGUAAGAAACAUUUUCUUUCCAUCCCUCUGUGCUUUUGCAGUUGCUCUGGAGUGGGAGGGGGUGUGUCCCUCUCAGGGACCCUGCUCGGGGACCUCCCGCGGCGCCGGGAGCACAUUCCCAGGGACUGGGACUCCCGGGAUUGCCCGCGCUUUGUCCUCGGCCGCUCAGAGAGGUGGACGCCUCGGCGCCUCUCUCGCCCAGGCCCCCGGCGGUCCCCUCCGGGGGCCAGACUCUGGCUCCUCGUUCUUUAUUCCUCGGGCUCUCUUUCCGCGACCCUUAGGAGCUGGGGACUCGGCACUUCCAGUUGCAUUCAGACCCAGUCGCUUGGCGGGGCGCUCAGAUCCCAGGUCCCUGGCUCGGCCUUGGGGGCGCCCUCGGGCCCUGGCCUGCGCCGCCUCCCUCUCCCUGGUCCCCUCUUUCCAGGCCGCCCGGGCUCCUGGAGACUCGGGCGCUGCCCUUCCGGACCCGCAACCCUCCAAACUUGGGCUGGAUUCCGCGUUGCCGUGCGCUCCCUCCCGUCUCCCCUCGCCCGCUGCGGAGCUGUAACUUGGAGGCUCAGCUCUCAACUUCGGGUGAUUUUUCUUUGCUGUCCUCUCCUCGGGCAAAGUUUCCCGAGCGCAGCCGCGGGCUCGGGGCUUUUACUUCGGCCCCUGGCGUCCGCACGCGGGGAGCAAGCGCGGCGGCGGCGGGGAGGGGAAGUGGGUGUGCGUACGGAGGAGGGUGUCCGGGAGCAACUCUACCUGGCUUCCCUCCGCCCGCGCUUCCCCAGCCCGGGGCUGCAGCCUCCCGGUGCACUCUCGCUCUAUUUUUUCCUUUUUUGA
rnacentral:lncRNA from 1 species